rnacentral:rRNA from 1 species
CAGCCGCCGCGGUAAUACGAAGGGGGCUAGCGUUGUUCGGAUUUACUGGGCGUAAAGCGCACGUAGGCGGACUUUUAAGUCAGGGGUGAAAUCCCGGGGCUCAACCCCGGAACUGCCUUUGAUACUGGAAGUCUUGAGUAUGGUAGAGGUGAGUGGAAUUCCGAGUGUAGAGGUGAAAUUCGUAGAUAUUCGGAGGAACACCAGUGGCGAAGGCGGCUCACUGGUCCAUUACUGACGCUGAGGUGCGAAAGCGUGGGGAUCAAACAGGAUUAGAUACCCGAUAGUCCCUGUCUCUUAUACA